rnacentral:rRNA from 1 species
AGCCUGAAUCAGUGUGUGUGUUAGUGGAAGCGUCUGGAAAGGCGUGCGAUACAGGGUGACAGCCCCGUACACAAAAAUGCACAUAUUGUGAGCUUGAUGAGUAGGGCGGGACACGUGGUAUCCUGUCUGAAUAUGGGGGGACCAUCCUCCAAGGCUAAAUACUCCUGACUGACCGAUAGUGAACCAGUACCGUGAGGGAAAGGCGAAAAGAACCCCGGCGAGGGGAGUGAAAAAGAACCUGAAACCGUGUACGUACAAGCAGUGGGAGCACGCUUAGGCGUGUGACUGCGUACCUUUUGUAUAAUGGGUCAGCGACUUAUAUUCUGUAGCAAGGUUAACCGAAUAGGGGAGCCGAAGGGAAACCGAGUCUUAACUGGGCGUUAAGUUGCAGGGUAUAGACCCGAAACCCGGUGAUCUAGCCAUGGGCAGGUUGAAGGUUGGGUAACACUAACUGGAGGACCGAACCGACUAAUGUUGAAAAAUUAGCGGAUGACUUGUGGCUGGGGGUGAAAGGCCAAUCAAACCGGGAGAUAGCUGGUUCUCCCCGAAAGCUAUUUAGGUAGCGCCUCGUGAAUUCAUCUCCGGGGGUAGAGCACUGUUUCGGCAAGGGGGUCA